CUCCUUUGACGUUAGCGGCGGACGGGUGAGUAACACGUGGGUAACCUACCUAUAAGACUGGGACAACUUCGGGAAACCGGAGCUAAUACCGGAUAAUAUGUUGAACCGCAUGGUUCAAUAGUGAAAGAUGGUUUUGCUAUCACUUAUAGAUGGACCCGCGCCGUAUUAGCUAGUUGGUGAGGUAACGGCUCACCAAGGCAACGAUACGUAGCCGACCUGAGAGGGUGAUCGGCCACACUGGAACUGAGACACGGUCCAGACUCCUACGGGAGGCAGCAGUAGGGAAUCUUCCGCAAUGGGCGAAAGCCUGACGGAGCAACGCCGCGUGAGUGAUGAAGGUCUUAGGAUCGUAAAACUCUGUUAUUAGGGAAGAACAAACGUGUAAGUAACAGUGCACGUCUUGACGGUACCUAAUCAGAAAGCCACGGCUAACUACGUGCCAGCAGCCGCGGUAAUACGUAGGUGGCAAGCGUUAUCCGGAAUUAUUGGGCGUAAAGCGCGCGUAGGCGGUUUUUUAAGUCUGAUGUGAAAGCCCCCGGCUCAACCGUGGAGGGUCAUUGGAAACUGGAAAACUUGAGUGCAGAAGAGGAAAGUGGAAUUCCAUGUGUAGCGGUGAAAUGCGCAGAGAUAUGGAGGAACACCAGUGGCGAAGGCGACUUUCUGGUCUGUAACUGACGCUGAUGUGCGAAAGCGUGGGGAUCAAACAGGAUUAGAUACCCUGGUAGUCCACGCCGUAAACGAUGAGUGCUAAGUGUUAGGGGGUUUCCGCCCCUUAGUGCUGCAGCUAACGCAUUAAGCACUCCGCCUGGGGAGU
rnacentral:rRNA from 1 species